rnacentral:lncRNA from 1 species
UGGGUUUGAAAGGCACUGUAAUGAUGAGUAGCAGGAGGCUUGUUCAGGGAGGAAUUUGCAGUUGCAACAGCUAAUCAGUACACUUCAUCUUUGUUAAGCGUUUCAAUGAGACAAUCAGACAACUGCACAUACUCUUAACCUGAAACGGGUAUGUAGGCGUAACAUCUAAAGGACACUCCUACAAUAUAUCAUAACUUUAUCAGACAAUGAAACAUAGAUCAUGUCGAGGUUAAAAGGAAGAAGCACAUAUCCAAACAAUCUCUUGUAUGUCUUGACAUCAAUCUAUAGUGUUGUGAUACUUCUUCAGCAUCACCCGCAUACAUACUCAAAUGCUGAGUAAACGCCUGGGGAAAAGACAGAAAUAAACAAAAUCAAACCUAAGUGGGCAACUUAUAAAGAGCCUGAAGCAUAUUCCCAGUGAACCUUCAAGCUUCAAAAUGGCUCGGAGGAAUCAAAAAGAUGUAUUUCUUUGAAUAGCAUAUACUUGCCUAAACCAAGUAUUUUUCUUUUAUCAUUCCUACGGCAGUUCCACCUAGGCCAAGAGCUCAAACAAUAUCUGGAAUAAUAAAAUAAAUAGCAUUGUUAAUUAAAAAAAAUGUUCCACAAAAAUUCCUCAUAAGAUUUAUAAUACUCUUAAUCAUCUAGAGAAUCAAUUUUAUGGAUUCUCUUAUUCUACAAUAUAAGUGGAUGGUAAUGUAGUAUCUGAAACUUAGAAAAAAAAUAUUAUAGAUCUUUAUAAAUAAACAUGAACAUGAAUGAACUCAAAUUUCUAGACGAAAAACAAAAAAGCAGCUAACUUAUAAUAUACAAAACUGGUGAAUUUGAUUUGUGAAAACAGUUUGAAUCAGAGAAGAAGUGGUAGGCUAAUACAUGUAUUUUACAAUAUAGAAACAAUAUAGAGAAGAAUACAAUAGAAGGAGAUGAAGAAGACCCAUCGGAGGCAACUGACUGACGUGGAUUUGAGCUUUCGACCAUGAAACAAAAGUUGCUGUGAAUAAAAUAAAUUUACAAAAUUUAGUUGGGAGUGACCCACCAAACGUGAGACCCAUCAAAGGUUUUGUGACCCAACCAAAAAGUGGACCAUUAUGAUAGUUAACUAAUGAUGAAAUGAUGACGAUACAGCAUGUCGGUCUUAUGAGCUCUCUCCCUUUCUUCACAUUACAGGCCGCACCGAACCUAAGAAGUCAGGCUUCGACCGUGUUGGCACAACAACCAGCUUUCAAGUCAGAGAACAUAAGGUUCAAGGUGGCCAUUGAUGGUGUGUGGGUUUGAAAGGCACUGUAAUGAUGAGUAGCAGGAGGCUUGUUCAGGGAGGAAUUUGCAGUUGCAACAGCUAAUCAGUACACUUCAUCUUUGUUAAGCGUUUCAAUGAGACAAUCAGACAACUGCACAUACUCUUAACCUGAAACGGGUAUGUAGGCGUAACAUCUAAAGGACACUCCUACAAUAUAUCAUAACUUUAUCAGACAAUGAAACAUAGAUCAUGUCGAGGUUAAAAGGAAGAAGCACAUAUCCAAACAAUCUCUUGUAUGUCUUGACAUCAAUCUAUAGUGUUGUGAUACUUCUUC